UUUGACUUUGUUUUCCGGCCGACCAUUAUUCUUGACGGAACGGUUGGCAGAAAGCAGCGAGACUUGUCUUGUGUUAGUGUUAUUUUGGAUCCUUAGUACGUCCCGACCGAAAUAAAGGAAAAGGUUUAGGGUAGGGACGUCCCAAGGAUACCAGAUAGCACUAAUCCAAGAUAAAUAUUUAACUGACGACUGCAUGAGUAACGUUAGCUACCAGAUAUAUGUGCUCGAUACAUACUAAUAUGAAAUGUUAUCCAAUACUUAUGUUUGAUUACCUAUAAAGCAUAAAAUAUAGCAACAUCUUUUUGUUUCGCACAUUUUGAAGAGGUGAUCACUUACAGGUGACUGCUUGACGGAGAAUAGGGGCAAACUGCCUCUGUAUACGGUCGACCAUGACGUCACUGGGGGGCAGCAGUUCCUCUUCUACAGAGUACAUAGUCCGGGUCCCCAAGUAA
rnacentral:lncRNA from 1 species